CUUUCCUGCUGGAAGGACUUAAAGGAUCUCUCUUGCAUGUGGAAUUUGAGAUGGAAAAACUGAGCCCAGAGUGGGGCCAGGACAUACCCAACAUCAUAGCGCAGAUGAAGACACAGCCAGGACCAGAACUCAAAUCUCCUACACCAGUGGGCUUCCCCCCUGAGCCUGAACAUGGAGUCACCACUGGCUCAGUGAUUACUGAGUGGAAAGGGAUUCGAGACGGCAGAGCACUGUGCAGAGAUAGCUGGGCAUGAGGGGAGAGAAUGCAAGCCUCAGCUGGGAAUCGGGACUCUUGGAUUCUCAUCUUCUCAGAUUGACUUAAUUCACCACUUCAGAGAGGUACUCCUUGGGAUCAUAAAUGAACUACCUGCAACUCACAUCCUAGUGUGAGUUGCAGGGUCUGCUUUCAGAUCAGCCCAAACUCAGGACUGUCUGUCUCCAGAGCCAACACUCAACUAUCACGUUAUGCAUCAUCCCACCUCACCCCCAGGGACCUCCCUCAUAAUGGAAGCAGCAGCAAAGACUUCAUAAUGAACAGCACCAGAUUCUAGAGGCACCUGCAUUCCUUGGCUUGUGGCCUCUUCCUCCAUCUCAAAGUGCAUCGCUCCAAUUUCUGCUUCUGUCAUCACAUCGCCUUUUCCUCCAGCUCCGACUCCUCCUGCAUCCAUCUGAAAAGGAUAAUCCAGGAUAUUCUCCCUAUCUCAAGAUCCUUCAUCACAUCUGCAAAGUCUCAGGCUGCUACCAAAGGGGCCACGCAGGACGUCCUCUGGGGAAUGCUGGCUCCCACACCACCCGCCUCGGCUCCUGGGCCAAGGUUUUGCCUUGAUCUGUCCAUCCCACUGCACAUGGCUUCAAGGAGGCAUUCAUGGGAAUCCCUGCUCAGGUCAGGCAGCAUCGUGUCAAGGUCAUGGCCCCUUGAAGAUUCUUUGAGGAAGUGGCUGUUGAGCUCCCAACCCCAGGGCUGGAGCAGGAGGAUCAGACACCCCGGCCUCAGCCCCAGAGCAUGAAAGCCCUCCCCACUCACCCAGCUGCUCUGCAGACCCACACUUGCACACAACUCCAUGUGCCACUGACCAGCUCUGACCUCGUCCUGGGCAAGGCUGGCGGGGCCUAGACCCAAACCCACAACAGUGUGUGGCUCCCAGGGAGGCAGCGUUUCCUGGGCACCAGCUCUUUAGAGAAUGCCUUCAGAAGUCCCCAUCCAGCCUCUCCCCUCAUGAAAUCCUGUCCUUGAAUCAUCCAGCCUAGCCCCCUGAGUAGCUGUGCAUUUCCGAGACCCCGAAUCCAUAAUAUUCAUAUGAAUGAGGUGGAGGGCAGGGAGAAUCGCUGCCAUUUAUUCAACCCUUAAUAAAUGCUGGGGGCUGC
rnacentral:lncRNA from 1 species